UUGCUUCUCUCCUUGAUCAGUUUCCACCCAUUGCUUCUUGUUCUACCUUCAGGUGCUUUGGAGAAUAGUUUGAUUCCCUCUUCUUUGUGGCAACCCCUGAGAUAUUGGAACACUGCUAUCAUGUCUCCCCUAGUCCUUCUUUUCAUUAAACUAGACAUACCGAGUUUCUGCAACCGUUCUUCAUAUGUUUUAGCCUCCAGUCCCCUAAUCAUCUUUGUUGCUCUUCUCUGCACUCUUUCUAGAGUCUCAACAUCUUUUUUUGAAGAGAGGGGUUUCAAAUGCCACAGCAGAAAUGUAGUGCUGCCUGGUUGGAGGUCUCUUAAGAAGUGAAGAUUAGCAAAGCAUUAAGACAAAGCAUUAAGACAGACAGCAUUUUCUGCAUCACUGGACACACUCGAUGAGGGUUGAUCCAUGGCUGAAUUGUUCCUUUCCAGAUUGACAUUCAAUAAGAAAAGGGUAAGAAAAGAAUAUAUAGAACAAUAAUAGCUAAGAACGUAUUGCCUCAAAUACUAUAAAGGAAAAAAAAAUGACUGGACUGCAGAGGUCAGGUACUAUAUAUCUGUUCGUUGAGAAAUUCAGAUAUCACCUCAGUGCAACUAGGCUCUAGACAAAUGAGUGGCAGCCCAGCAUUUGAUGAAAUCUCUAGCUUCCUCCUGCAAUGAAUCCUAGUACAAUUUGUUCUCCUUUUUAGUCUUUCUUAGAUUUUUCUCAUUAGGUACCACUAGUUUUUACAUAGCUCAACAUCAUCUCUCUCCACACUCAAUACUUUAUAUCAGUUGUGAAAUCCAUUUUUUUUUAUUACCGGUUCUGUGGGUGUGGCUUGUCAUUUUUGAGGAAAUGGUAGUCAGAGAAAUCUGCUUAGCCA